AGGACGAACGCUGGCGGCGUGCUUAACACAUGCAAGUCGAGCGGAAAGGCCCUUCGGGGUACUCGAGCGGCGAACGGGUGAGUAACACGUGAGCAACCUGCCCUUAGCUCUGGGAUAGCUCCGGGAAACCGGAUUAAUACCGGAUACGACCUAGGCCGACAUCGGCCAUGGUGGAAAGUUUUUCGGCUAGGGAUGGACUCGCGGCCUAUCAGCUAGUUGGUGGGGUAAAGGCCUACCAAGGCGACGACGGGUA
rnacentral:rRNA from 1 species